AACGAACGCUGGCGGCAUGCCUAACACAUGCGAGUCGAACGAGACCUUCGGGUCUAGUGGCGCACGGGUGCGUAACGCGUGGGAACCUGACCUUAGGUUCGGAAUAACUCCCCGAAAGGGGUGCUAAUACCGGAUAAUGUCUUCUGCCCAAACAUUUAUCGCGUUUGGUUGUGCCCGCGUUGGAUUCGCUGGUUCGUAGGGUAAUAGCCUACCAAGGCGACGAUCCAUAGCUGGUCUGAGAGGAUGAUCAGCCACACUGGGACUGAGACACGGCCCAGACUCCUACGCGAGGCAGCAGUGGGGAAUGUAGGACAAUGGGCGAAAGCCUGAUCCAGCAAGGCCGCGUGAGUGAUGAAGGCCGGAGGGUUGUAAAGCGCUUUUACCCGGGAUGAUAAUGACAGUACCGGGAGAAUAAGCUCCGGCUAACUCCGUG
rnacentral:rRNA from 1 species